rnacentral:tRNA from 2 species
AGGUAAUAUGGCUGAGUAGGCAUUAGACUGUAAAUCUAAAGACGGGGAGCAAUCCCCUGUUACCAA